rnacentral:rRNA from 1 species
CCUACGGGAGGCAGCAGUGGGGAAUAUUGGACAAUGGGGGGAACCCUGAUCCAGCGACGCCGCGUGAGUGAAGAAGUAUUUCGGUAUGUAAAGCUCUAUCAGCAGGGAAGAAAGAAAUGACGGUACCUGACUAAUAAGCCACGGCUAACUACGUGCCAGCAGCCGCGGUAAUACGUAGGGGGCAAGCGUUAUCCGGAUUUACUGGGUGUAAAGGGGGCGUAGACGGGGAUGCAAGUCUGAAGUGAAAGGCGGGGGCCCAACCCCCGGACUGCUUUGGAAACUGUAUGGCUGGAGUGCAGGAGAGGUAAGUGGAAGUCCUAGUGUAGCGGUGAAAUGCGUAGAUAGUAGGAGGAACACCAGUGGCGAAGGCGGCUUACUGGACUGUAACUGACGUUGAGGCUCGAAAGCGUGGGGAGCAAACAGGAUUAGAUACCCGAGUAGUC